rnacentral:tRNA from 1 species
GGGAAUGUAGCUCAGUUGGUAGAGUGCUUGCCUGGUAUGCAGAAGCCCUGGGUUUCAUUCCUGGCAUCCA